rnacentral:rRNA from 1 species
GACGAACGCUGGCGGCGUGCCUAAUACAUGCCAGUUGAGCGCUGAAGGUUGGUACUUGUACCGACUGGAUGAGCAGCGAACGGGUGAGUAACGCGUGGGGAAUCUGCCUUUGAGCGGGGGACAACAUUUGGAAACGAAUGCUAAUACCGCAUAAAAACUUUAAACACAAGUUUUAAGUUUGAAAGAUGCAAUUGCAUCACUCAAAGAUGAUCCCGCGUUGUAUUAGCUAGUUGGUGAGGUAAAGGCUCACCAAGGCGAUGAUACAUAGCCGACCUGAGAGGGUGAUCGGCCACAUUGGGACUGAGACACGGCCCAAACUCCUACGGGAGGCAGCAGUAGGGAAUCUUCGGCAAUGGACGAAAGUCUGACCGAGCAACGCCGCGUGAGUGAAGAAGGUUGUCGGAUCGUAAAACUCUGUUGGUAGAGAAGAACGUUGGUGAGAGUGGAAAGCUCAUCAAGUGACGGUAACUACCCAGAAAGGGACGGCUAACUACGUG